rnacentral:lncRNA from 1 species
CUCCUCUGAAGAAGCCGGGACACAUUCUGCUCAGCCAGCAUGUUCCCAGAGGAAUGCGGUCUAACUUCCACUUUUCACACAUGCUGAAGAAAGAGGGCACUAGUGUACAGCCCAGAUCGCAUCCUUGCACCGUCUGGAUUAGAGCUGAGGCGUCUGCGAACCGCGCGUGGCCGCGGUGCUCUGGCCCGGGGACCACAGCGCUGUCUACCCGGACUCAGCGUCCAGCUCACUACAGCCACCACGACUUCCAUUGCACCCUUGGUCAGUUUACCUUGAUGCACCAGUGAAGAAAGGGGACUCGGAUUCCUCUAGAGACGCCGCCAAGGCGUACAGGUGGUCGUGGAGGACCAGGAGGAGGAGGCGGAGGGGAAGGAGGAGGGGGUCCAGACGCCGAAGUCUUCGGACGAUUGGUAUUGGCAGGCUGGACCGAGCGGCGAGAGGCAGGCGUCGGGUCCACCCUGUGAGCGCGCAGAACCGGCUGGCUGGACCAGCGUGGGCACGCGGUUGGCGGGC